rnacentral:misc_RNA from 1 species
GAUGAAGAACGUAGCGAAAUGCGAUAAGUAGUGUGAAUUGCAGAAUUCAGUGAAUCAUCGAAUCUUUGAACGCACAUUGCGCCCCUCGGUAUUCCGUGGGGCAUGCCUGUUCGAGCGUCAUUUAACCCCUCAAGCCUAGCUUGGUAUUGGGUGCUUGUCCCGCCUCUCGCGCGGCGACUCACCUCAAAGUCAUUGGCAGCCCGCAUCUCGCCGGCCGUGAGCGCAGCACAGACGCGCUCUUGGCNACGACGGAUCGGCUCUCCAAAAGCUUAUUUCAACCACUGACCUCGGAUCAGGUAGGGAUACCCGCUGAACUUAAGCAUAUCAAUAAGCGGAGGA